rnacentral:rRNA from 1 species
UACGUAGGGGGCAAGCGUUGUCCGGAUUUAUUGGGCGUAAAAGGCUUGUAGGUGGCCACGCCAAUCCGGAUGUGAAAUCUCCCGGCUCAACUGGGAGGGGUCAUUCGAUACUGGCGGGCUCGAGGCCGGUAGGGGGAAGUGGAAUUCCCGGUGUAGUGGUGGAAUGCGUAGAUAUCGGGAGGAACACCAGUGGCGAAGGCGGCUUCCUGGACCGGUUCUGACACUGAGGAGCGAAAGCGUGGGGAGCGAUCCGG